rnacentral:rRNA from 1 species
UACGUAGGGUGCAAGCGUUGUCCGGAAUUAUUGGGCGUAAAGAGCUCGUAGGCGGUCUGUCGCGUCUGCUGUGAAAACCUAGGGCUUAACUCUGGGCGUGCAGUGGGUACGGGCAGACUAGAGUGCGGUAGGGGAGACUGGAAUUCCUGGUGUAGCGGUGAAAUGCGCAGAUAUCAGGAGGAACACCGGUGGCGAAGGCGGGUCUCUGGGCCGUAACUGACGCUGGAGGAGCGAAAGCCGUGGGGAGCGAAACAGG